AAAGAAAGUAAGCAAGGGCGCAUGGCGGAUGCCUUGGCUCUCGGAGGCGAUGAAGGACGUGAUAAGCUGCGAUAAGCUCUGGGUAGGUGCAAAUAACCUUUGAUCCAGAGAUUUCCGAAUGGGACAACCCGGCAUUCUGAAGGAAUGUCAUCCAUCUUUGAUGGAAGCUAACGCAGGGAACUGAAACAUCUUAGUACCUGUAGGAAAAGAAAAUAAUAAUGAUUCCCCUAGUAGUGGCGAGCGAACGGGGAAUAGCCCAAACCACCCAUGUUACGGCAUGUGUGGGGUUGUAGGACCACGAUAUCGCAAGACAUUUGAUGAGUAGAAUCCUCUGGAAAGUGGAACCAUAGACGGUGAUAGUCCGGUAUACGAAGUCAAAUUAAGCGUAGUGGUAUCCUGAGUAGCGCGGGACACGAGAAAUCUUGCGUGAAUCUGCCGGGACCAUCCGGUAAGGCUAAAUACUCCCGAGAGACCGAUAGCGAACCAGUACUGUGAAGGAAAGGUGAAAAGCACUUCGAAUAGAAGAGUGAAAUAGUCCCUGAAACCGUGCGCCUACAAGCGGUCGGAGCUGCGUAAGCAGUGACGGCGUGCCUUUUGCAUAAUGAACCUACGAGUUACUUUUUCCGGCAAGGUUAAGCAUCUUGAGAUGUGCAGCCGAAGCGAAAGCGAGUCUGAACAGGGCGUCGAGUCGGAAGGAGUAGACGCGAAACCAAGUGAUCUACCCUUGGUCAGGUUGAAGGUUAGGUAACACUAACUGGAGGACCGAACCGAUAAGCGUUGAAAAGCUUCCGGAUGAACUGAGGGUGGGGGUGAAAGGCUAAUCAAACUUGGAGAUAGCUCGUACUCCCCGAAAUGCAUUUAGGUGCAGCCUUGUGAGUUACUAAUGUGAGGUAGAGCGACUGAUAAGAUGCGAGGGCUUCACCGCCUAUCAAGUCUUGAUAAACUCCGAAUGCGCAUUAGUUCUAUCACAGGAGUGAGGGCAUGGGUGCUAAGGUCCAUGUCCUAAAGGAGAAGAAUCCAGACCAUCAGCUAAGGUCCCCAAAUAAACACUAAGUUGAACUAACGAAGUCAGAUUGCUAAGACAGCUAGGAUGUUGGCUUGGAAGCAGCCAUUCAUUUAAAGAGUGCGUAACAGCUCACUAGUCGAGGAGUUUGGCGUGGAUAAUAAUCGGGCAUUAAGUGUUUUACCGAAGCUAUGGGAUCAGUAAUGAUCGGUAGGGGAGCAUUCCACUCUGCGUCGAAGGUGAAGCGUGAGCUUUGCUGGAGCGUGUGGAAAAGCAAAUGUAGGUAUAAGUAACGAUAAAGGGGGUGAGAACCNNNNNNNNNNNNNNNNNNNNNNNNNNNNNNNNNNNNNNNNNNNNNNNNNNNNNNNNNNNNNNNNNNNNNNNNNNNNNNNNNNNNNNNNNNNNNNNNAACCCCCUCGCCGAAAGACUAAGGUUUCCUGAUCAACGCUAAUCGGAUCAGGGUUAGUCGGGUCCUAAGGCUCAGCCGAACGGUGAGGCCGAUGGCAGAACAGGUUAAUAUUCCUGUACUACCUUAAGGAGUGACGUGGAGACGGAGGCGUGACAGCGCCGCGGACUGACGGAAUAGUCCGUUGAAGGGUGUAGAUGUUGAUUAUCCCAGGCAAAUCCGGGAUAAGAGUCGAACCUGAUAGUAUGGAGCGUUCUUCGGAACAAUCCAAUAGUGCGUGUAAUCAUACUCCCAAGAAAAUCCGCUAAACUUAAUCCUUGAGGUACCCGUACCGCAAACGGACACACGUAGUCGGGUUGAAUAUACUAAGGCGCUUGAGUGAUUCACGGUUAAGGAACUAGGCAAAUUGACCCUGUAACUUCGGGAUAAAGGGUCCCAACGAGAGUUGGGCGCAGAGAAUAGGUCCAGGCAACUGUUUAACAAAAACACAGGGCUGUGCCAAAUUGAAAGAUUACGUAUACAGCCUGACACCUGCCCGGUGCUGGAAGGUUAAGAGGAGAUGUCAUCGCAAGAGAAGCAUUGAAUUGAAGCCCCAGUAAACGGCGGCCGUAACUAUAACGGUCCUAAGGUAGCGAAAUUCCUUGUCGGGUAAGUUCCGACCUGCACGAAUGGUGUAAUGAUCUGGACACUGUCUCAACCGUGAGCUCAGUGAAAUUGUAGUAUCGGUGAAGAUGCCGAUUACCCGCGAUGGGACGAAAAGACCCCGUGAACCUUUACUAUAGCUUAACAUUGAAUUUGGGUAAUUGAUGUGUAGGAUAGGCCGGAGACUUCGAAGCAGGUACGCCAGUAUUUGUGGAGUCGCUGUUGAAAUACGGCCCUUUGAUUAUUUGAGUUCUAACUCGUGGUACGAGGACACUGUUUGGUGGGUAGUUUGACUGGGGUGGUCGCCUCCAAAAUAGUAACGGAGGCUUCUAAAGGUGCCCUCAGGACGAUUGGUAACCGUCCGCAGAGUGUAAUGGCAUAAGGGCGCUUGACUGGGAGACUUACAAGUCGAUCAGGUAGGAAACUAGAGCAUAGUGAUCCGGUGUUUCCGUAUGGAAGGGACAUCGCUCAAAGGAUAAAAGGUACUCCGGGGAUAACAGGCUGAUCCCUCCCAAGAGCUCAUAUCGACGGAGGGGUUUGGCACCUCGAUGUCGGCUCGUCACAUCCUGGGGCUGGAGAAGGUCCCAAGGGUUGGGCUGUUCGCCCAUUAAAGUGGCACGCGAGCUGGGUUCAGAACGUCGUGAGACAGUUCGGUCUCUAUCUAUCGUGGGCGUAUGAAAUUUGCGUGGCUCUGACACUAGUACGAGAGGACCGUGUUGGACUGACCGCUGGUUUACCAGUUGUGCCGCCAGGUGCAUUGCUGGGUAUCUAAGUCGGGAUUGGAUAAGUGCUGAAAGCAUCUAAGUACGAAGCCAGCCACAAGAUUAGAUUUCUUAGGGUCGUUAAAGACGAUGACGUUGAUAGGAUGCAGGUGUAAAGGUGGUAACAUCAAAGCCGAGCAUUACUAAUUGCCCGUUCACUUUCUUU
rnacentral:rRNA from 1 species